AUAUGUACCGUUUAAUUUCAGCCGUUAAGAUCCUAACUAGUUUUAAUCCUAUCCGUCCAAUAUAGAUAACCCUAAUACUAAUCGCUAACUCUGGUAACUCUCUCACUCUCAGUUUUCUUUCUUCUUCGUUUUUUUUCUCUCUGAAGCAGUGAAGCUAUGAAGAGCAGCCUCUUCAUCUCUGAGUAACUACGGCUACCCUCACCAAUCAAUCAGGAAAUCACCAAUUCACGAUCAUCAUCAAGUGAUUCAAGUCUUACUAGUUAGUAGCUAUCAAUCAAUCAGGUUAAGUGGUGACUGCCAAGGAUACCAAUUUUUUCUUCGUCUAUCAGAUUCAAUCUAAACCUUUUUGUUUCCAAGGUUGAGGUUGUCCUAUCCAAUCAAUGGCCUUAUUGGAGGGGAAAGUGCAGAUUUGUGGCCUAGGAUUGCAACUUGCAAGUGCAGGCUGUGCAGCCAUCCAUUAUUUCUUGUCGACUUGUCGUAGACAGACUUAUAUGGUAGUGGAAAUGUUGUUUUUACUUUUUGGCAAACUGAACUUAUGAACUUAUUUUGGAUUGUUGUUUUGAAGUUAUGCAAAAUGUUGAACUUAAAUAUGUAUGCAACCUGAACUUAUUUUGGAUUGUUGAACAUUGAACUUAUGGAAAUGUUGUAUUAUAUUUUGUAAUA